AUCUAGACGAUUGUAUAGUUAGUCUAGAGAGUCCAGAGCUCAGAGUCAGUUCAAAUACAACUAUUUUAACUAAAAAUUUAAAAUGCUCCUAAAUUGUUCACUUCUUCCCGGCCCAACGUCAUCCAGUUGAAUCGAAUCCUAAUGCGAAUCCCAAUUCGAAUCGAAUGAUUAAAGAUAAUAGAUGGAUUACGUAGAUGAGGUGAUAAGAUGAUUAAGAUGUUUCUGCUUAAAUUUCCCUCAAAUUCAGCAUUUCCGCUAUUAUAGAGACUGCAAACGCUGUCGGCUCUCGCGGAUCAUUGAAAGGAUGACAGGAUAAUGAGAGUCCAGAGCUCAGAGUCAGUUAAAAUAAAACUAUUUAACUAAAAUGCUCCUCAAUUUCUCAAGUAUCUCGUUCUUCCCGGACAAGCAUCAUCC